rnacentral:rRNA from 1 species
UACGUAGGGUGCGAGCGUUGUCCGGAAUUAUUGGGCGUAAAGAGCUCGUAGGCGGUGUGUCACGUCGUUCGUGAAAACCUGCAGCUUAACUGUGGGCGUGCGGUCGAUACGGGCAUCACUGGAGUUCGGCAGGGGAGACUGGAAUUCCUGGUGUAGCGGUGAAAUGCGCAGAUAUCAGGAGGAACACCAAUGGCGAAGGCAGCUCACUGGGACGGUAUUGACGCUGAGACGCGAAAGCGUGGGGAGCGAACAGG